rnacentral:rRNA from 1 species
GCCUACGGCCAUACCACCCUGAGAACGCCCGAUCCCGUCUGAUCUCGGAAGCUAAGCGGGGUCGGGCCCGGUUAGUACUUGGAUGGGAGACCGCCUGGGAAUACCGNCGGCGGGGUAGAGC